GAUGAACGCUCGCUACAGGCUUAACACAUGCAAGUCGAGGGGCAGCAUGAACUUAGCUUGCUAAGUUUGAUGGCGACCGGCGCACGGGUGAGUAACACGUAUCCAACCUGCCGAUGACUCGGGGAUAGCCUUUCGAAAGAAAGAUUAAUACCCGAUGGCAUAGUUCUUCCGCAUGGUAGAACUAUUAAAGAAUUUCGGUCAUCGAUGGGGAUGCGUUCCAUUAGGUUGUUGGCGGGGUAACGGCCCACCAAGCCUUCGAUGGAUAGGGGUUCUGAGAGGAAGGUCCCCCACAUUGGAACUGAGACACGGUCCAAACUCCUACGGGAGGCAGCAGUGAGGAAUAGUGGUCAAUGGACGAGAGUCUGAACCAGCCAAGUAGCGUGAAGGAUGACUGCCCUAUGGGUUGUAAACUUCUUUUAUACGGGAAUAAAGUGAGGCACGUGUGCCUUUUUGUAUGUACCGUAUGAAUAAGGAUCGGCUAACUCCGUG
rnacentral:rRNA from 1 species